rnacentral:rRNA from 1 species
AUUGAACGCUGGCGGCAGGCCUAACACCUGCAAGUCGAGCGAGCGGCGGACGGGUGGAUAAUUUAUGGGGAUCUGCCUGAUGUAGGGGUAUGACUCCUGGAAACGUUGGCUAAUACCGCUUACUAUCGUAUGACACUAUAUGGGAUUAGCUAGUAGGUGGGGUAAAGGCUCACCUAGGCGACGAUCCCUAGCUGAGCUGAGAGGCUGACCAGCCACACUGGGACUGAGACACGGCCCAGACGCCUACGGGAGGCAGCAGUGGGGAAUAUUGCACAAUGGGCGCAAGCCUGAUGCAGCCAUGCCGCGUGUAUGAAGAAGGCCUUCGGGUUGUAAAGCACUGUCAGUGGGGAGGCGUUACCCAAAGAAGAAGCACCGGCUAACUCCGUGCCAGCCGCCGCGGUAAUUC